ACUUAAAACGAGUGGCGGACGGGUGAGUAACACGUGGGUAACCUGCCCUUAAGUGGGGGAUAACAUUUGGAAACAGAUGCUAAUACCGCAUAAAUCCAAGAACCGCAUGGUUCUUGGCUGAAAGAUGGCGCAAGCUAUCGCUUUUGGAUGGACCCGCGGCGUAUUAGCUAGUUGGUGAGGUAACGGCUCACCAAGGCGAUGAUACGUAGCCGAACUGAGAGGUUGAUCGGCCACAUUGGGACUGAGACACGGCCCAAACUCCUACGGGAGGCAGCAGUAGGGAAUCUUCCACAAUGGACGCAAGUCUGAUGGAGCAACGCCGCGUGAGUGAAGAAGGCUUUCGGGUCGUAAAACUCUGUUGUUGGAGAAGAAUGGUCGGCAGAGUAACUGUUGUCGGCGUGACGGUAUCCAACCAGAAAGCCACGGCUAACUACGUGCCAGCAGCCGCGGUAAUACGUAGGUGGCAAGCGUUAUCCGGAUUUAUUGGGCGUAAAGCGAGCGCAGGCGGUUUUUUAAGUCUGAUGUGAAAGCCCUCGGCUUAACCGAGGAAGCGCAUCGGAAACUGGGAAACUUGAGUGCAGAAGAGGACAGUGGAACUCCAUGUGUAGCGGUGAAAUGCGUAGAUAUAUGGAAGAACACCAGUGGCGAAGGCGGCUGUCUGGUCUGUAACUGACGCUGAGGCUCGAAAGCAUGGGUAGCGAACAGGAUUAGAUACCCUGGUAGUCCAUGCCGUAAACGAUGAAUGCUAGGUGUUGGAGGGUUUCCGCCCUUCAGUGCCGCAGCUAACGCAUUAAGCAUUCCGCCUGGGGAGUACGACCGCAAGGUUGAAACUCAAAGGAAUUGACGGGGGCCCGCACAAGCGGUGGAGCAUGUGGUUUAAUUCGAAGCAACGCGAAGAACCUUACCAGGUCUUGACAUCUUUUGAUCACCUGAGAGAUCAGGUUUCCCCUUCGGGGGCAAAAUGACAGGUGGUGCAUGGUUGUCGUCAGCUCGUGUCGUGAGAUGUUGGGUUAAGUCCCGCAACGAGCGCAACCCUUAUGACUAGUUGCCAGCAUUGAGUUGGGCACUCUAGUAAGACUGCCGGUGACAAACCGGAGGAAGGUGGGGAUGACGUCAAAUCAUCAUGCCCCUUAUGACCUGGGCUACACACGUGCUACAAUGGAUGGUACAACGAGUUGCGAGACCGCGAGGUCAAGCUAAUCUCUUAAAGCCAUUCUCAGUUCGGACUGUAGGCUGCAACUCGCCUACACGAAGUCGGAAUCGCUAGUAAUCGCGGAUCAGCACGCCGCGGUGAAUACGUUCCCGGGCCUUGUACACACCGCCCGUCACACCAUGAGAGUUUGUAACACCCGAAGCCGGUGGCGUAACCCUUUUAGGGAGCGAGCCGUCUAAGGUGGGACAAAUGAUUAGGGUGAAGUCGUAACAAGGUAGCCGUAGGAGAACCUGCGGCUGGAUCACCUCCUUU
rnacentral:rRNA from 1 species